UCACUGGAGGAGGGUGAUGAUCAUGACCGCCACUCAUCAGCCGACCCGCCCCAUGACGAUUUUAUGUAUAUCGUGCAUUACUGCUAGCCACCAUGAAUAUUACAUA
rfam:Pongo abelii chromosome 3.